rnacentral:rRNA from 1 species
GACCUGCGGAGGGAUCAUUACACAAAUAUGAAGGCGGGCUGGAACCUCUCGGGGUUACAGCCUUGCUGAAUUAUUCACCCUUGUCUUUUGCGUACUUCUUGUUUCCUUGGUGGGUUCGCCCACCACUAGGACAAACAUAAACCUUUUGUAAUUGCAAUCAGCGUCAGUAACAAAUUAAUAAUUACAACUUUCAACAACGGAUCUCUUGGUUCUGGCAUCGAUGAAGAACGCAGCGAAAUGCGAUAAGUAGUGUGAAUUGCAGAAUUCAGUGAAUCAUCGAAUCUUUGAACGCACAUUGCGCCCUUUGGUAUUCCAAAGGGCAUGCCUGUUCGAGCGUCAUUUGUACCCUCAAGCUUUGCUUGGUGUUGGGCGUCUUGUCUCUAGCUUUGCUGGAGACUCGCCUUAAAGUAAUUGGCAGCCGGCCUACUGGUUUCGGAGCGCAGCACAAGUCGCACUCUCUAUCAGCAAAGGUCUAGCAUCCAUUAAGCCUUUUUUCAACUUUUGACCUCGGAUCAGGUAGGGAUACCCGCUGAACUUAAGCAUA